rnacentral:misc_RNA from 1 species
UUAAGUUCAGCGGGUAUCCCUACCUGAUCCGAGGUCAAAAUUGUGAAAUUGCUCCUGGGAGCCAGCACAAGAGGGCCACGAGUUCGCGUUUCUGCUGCGCUCGAAGCCAACGUACCGGCCGCCAAUGAAUUUGGGGCGAGUCCGCGCCCGGGGGCGGCGGACAGUCACCCAUCACAAGCUGAGCUUGAAGGUUUAAAUGA